rnacentral:rRNA from 1 species
UGGGUAACCUGCCUCAAAGAGGGGAAUAGCCUCCCGAAAGGGAGAUUAAUACCGCAUAAUAUGUUUAAGUCGCAUGACUUUAACAUCAAAGGAUUCUCUUCGGAGAUUCCACUUUGAGAUGGACCCGCGGCGCAUUAGCUAGUUGGUGAGGUAACGGCUCACCAAGGCAACGAUGCGUAGCUGGUCUGAGAGGACGAUCAGCCACACUGGGACUGAGACACGGCAGA